GGCGCACGGGUGCGUAACGCGUAUGCAACCUACCUUUAACUGGAAGAUAGCCCCGAGAAAUCGGGAUUAAUACUCCAUAAAAUUAUGAAGUGGCAUCUCUUUAUAAUUAAAGCUCCGGCGGUUUUAGAUGGGCAUGCGUGACAUUAGCUAGUUGGUGAGGUAACGGCUCACCAAGGCGACGAUGUCUAGGGGUUCUGAGAGGAUUUUCCCCCACACUGGUACUGAGACACGGACCAGACUCCUACGGGAGGCAGCAGUAAGGAAUAUUGGGCAAUGGGCGCAAGCCUGACCCAGCCAUGCCGCGUGAAGGAUGACGGCCCUAUGGGUUGUAAACUUCUUUUGUACGGGAAAAAACCCCCGGUCGUGAACCGGGGUUGAUGGUACCGUAAGAAUAAGCAUCGGCUAACUCCGUGCCAGCAGCCGCGGUAAUACGGAGGAUGCAAGCGUUAUCCGGAUUCAUUGGGUUUAAAGGGUGCGCAGGCGGAAUGAUAAGUCAGUGGUGAAAUCCUACGGCUCAACUGUAGAACUGCCAUUGAUACUGUCCUUCCUGAGUACACUUGAAGUGGGCGGAAUGUGUCAUGUAGCGGUGAAAUGCUUAGAUAUGACACAGAACACCGAUCGCGAAGGCAGCUCACUAAAUUUGUAACUGACGCUCAUGCACGAAAGCGUGUGGAUCAAACAGGAUUAGAUACCCUGGUAGUCCACGCUGUAACGAUGAUCACUCGAUGUUGGCGAUAUACUGUCAGCGUCUAAGCGAAAGC
rnacentral:rRNA from 1 species